rnacentral:rRNA from 1 species
AGGACGAACGCUUGCGACGUGCCUAAGAAAUGCAAGUCGAGCGAGGAGCAAUCCUAGCGGCGAACGGUCGCGUAACACGUAAGCAACCUGCCCCAAAGACCGGGACAACGUUCCGAAAGGAGCGCUAAUACCGGAUGUGACCUUUUCCUGACAUCGGGGAAAGAUUAAAGCGCGCAAUCGGCUUUGGGAGGGGCUUGCGGCCUAUCAGCUAGAUGGUGGGGUAACGGCCUACCAUGGCGACGACGGGUAGCUGGUCUGAGAGGACGGUCAGCCGGAUUGGGACUGAGAUACGGCCCAGACUCCUACGGGGGGCAGCAAUUAGGAAUCUUGCGCAAUGGGCGAAAGCCUGACGCAGCGACGUCGCGUGGGGGAGGAAGGCUUUCGGGUUGUAAACCCCUUUUAUCGAGGAAGAAACAAAUGACGGUACUCGAUGAAUAAGCCCGGCUAACUCCGUGCCAGCAGCCGC